CAGCAACGUCCACGCAUGCAUACCUCUUCAUUUUAGCGACAAGGCUCAUUUUGCCUUGAGCGUUCUGUGGGUUUCCUGUGUUGCAUACCUAAUCGAUGGUAAUCUGUUGAUCAAUCAUUGUUCCCUUUCGUCAUGCGUCGCUCUUGCGGCGUGGGGCGAACCUCGUAGCGUUCUUUAUGAUCCACCUUGUCAAUGUCCAUGCAUUUGAUGAGUUGGGCCAUUGAGCAUUGCCUGGUCUCUUGGAUACGGAACCUUAUGCGGGCAUGGGAUCGUACUUGAUCCCUCAUUUGCCCCUGUUAAGCGUUCUCGCUUCUCCAAAACGACUGCUCGUCACGUGUUGGCAUGUCC
rnacentral:misc_RNA from 1 species